AGUGAACGCUGGCGGCAGGCCUAACACAUGCAAGUCGAACGGCAGCACAGGGGUAGCAAUACCCUGGGUGGCGAGUGGCGGACGGGUGAGGAAUACGUCGGAAUCUGCCUAUUUGUGGGGGAUAACGUAGGGAAACUUACGCUAAUACCGCAUACGACCUACGGGUGAAAGCGGAGGACCUUCGGCUUCGCGCAGAUAGAUGGGCCGACGUCGGAUUAGCUAGUUGGUAAGGUAAUAGGCUUACCAAGGCUGCGAUCAGUAGCUGGUCUGAGAGGACGGCCAG
rnacentral:rRNA from 1 species